CCCUUUAAAUUUUUUUUGGGCCCUAAGCUAUAGCUUGUUUAGUUUAUACGUAAAUCGGCACUGGGCGCCCCCCCUCCAAGUUUAUUGGCAUUGCCAUUCAAACGGUGAUCAGAAUGUGAUCGAUUAUGCGGGGCGGGGCUUACCUGCCCCCCCUCCAAUAUUUCAUUCAAGUUGGCAGGCGCCCCUGCCGACCUCUUUGGGAACCCAGAGAAGGCUGGCUUGGCCGAGCGCGCCUUUCGCGCACACGUGUGUGUGUGUGCGCAGAGCGGCGCUCGCUUGCGGAAUUCGCCAGGGCUUGAAAGGGCCCUCGGUUUACAAUGCUAACUUCCUGUUCCAGCCCGGCUGCCAACAUGACCGCAGGCAGGUUCACCCAGAGAGUGUCCGGCGGCGGCAACAGCAGCAGCAGCAGCAGCAGCAGCCGCGCUUCUUGGCCGAGAGGAGAUCCCGCCCCGCUGCCGCCUCGGAUUGCUGGCGGGCGAAUAAAAACGACCCGGGAAUCCAGACGCUCUUCCAGGUAGACGAGGCUUUAUUUAGAGACUCUUUCCCCCUCCUCUGCUCCUUUCUUUCUUGGCCGCCGCGCGGUUUCCAAACCCAGCCGGGGCGUGGCGUGGUGUCCUUCGCCUGGGUAAAUAUUUGAGCGCUCGCAGCCAAGGAGGAGGAGAGCCGCUCCGCGAGGCACAUGGCGCGGAGACACCGGCGGGAAAGGGCUGCCAGGGAAGCCGCCGCCUCCGCUGCCGCCGCACCCUUUGUGCUCCGGAGUGAAGCCCCUUCGCUUGUUGCAGCACCCUUUACUGUUUGGGCGGGAAACUUCCCCUUCAGGCUGGGAAGAAGGGUGGGCAGAGUUGAGAGGGGGACCUGCCUGAGGAAGAAUUCAGACGAGAAAGGAAGCGGUGUGUUGUGUUUUGUUGACAGUCGUCGUCUUCUUCUUCGUUUUAAAGUUUUUUAUGUGUGUUACAAAACAAACAGAUAAAGGGGGAAAGGUACAUCUCUUGUCUCCACUUUCAACCUGUCGUCCUUUCCAGUUUGUUUGCAUUUAGUGAGAGACACUUUUUGUCAUGGACAUCUUGCACUGGGGUAGGAAAAGGGGUGUUGGGGGUCUUCUUGAAUUUAGGGUGCAGGGGUUGUGUGUUUGUGUGCCAGGUGGGCUUAGUUGCCCCCUGACAAGAGUAUAGGUACUUAAUUAAUAAUAUAAUGAUACAGUGAUAUCUUGGUUCUCAAACACCUUGGUACUCAAACAACUUGGAACCCAAACACUGCAAACCCAGAAGUAAGUGUUCUGGUUUGCAAACAUUUUUUGAAAGCUGAACAUGCUCCGUUUUGAGUGUUAUGUUUCCGUUUUGAGUGCCACGCUGAGGUGUGUCUGUUUUUGCUAUUUAUUUUGCAUUUUUGUUUUUGCGGCUUUUUUUGUUUUGUUUUCGUGACUGUAUGGAACCCACUUCAGCUACUGAUGGAUUGAUUGAUUGUGUGACUUCAGUACAUUGAUUAUUGCUUUCAUUUUAUGGAUCAAUGGUCUCGUUAGAUGGUAAAGUUCAUGUUAAAUUGCUGUUUUAGGGGUUGUUUUUAAAAGUCUGGAACGGAUUAAUCCGUGUUACAUUACUUUCUAUGGGAAAGCAUGCUUUGGUUUUGAAACGCUUUGGUUUUGGAACGGACUUCCGGAACAGAUUAAGUUUGAGAACAGGUUAAAGUUAAUGAUAGACUAAGAUUAAAGAUUAAGAUUAAAGAUGUUUAAAGAAAUGGAAAUUUGAUAUUAAGAGGGAAAAUUUUAACGUUAUAUGAUACUGAGACCAAGGAUUAGGUUUAAAGAAGUUGAAGUUAUAUAUUUUAAUAUUUUAUCAAAUUAAAGAUUGGGAUUAAAAAAGUGGAAAAGAAACUGCUGGACAAACAAUUUGGAUUGGAAUACAAAAGAGGGAGGUAUGAGGAAGUCCAGAAAAUAAGUAACUUAAAAAUGGAAAUGGAAAAGAGAUAUUGUUUUUAAUUGUUAUGUUUUUUGUUUUUUUAUUGUUGAAUUUUGUGUUGUUUUUUGUGUGUGUUGUUGUUAUAUGUAUUGCGUAUGUUUUUUUCUCUUUCUUUGUUGUUUAAAACCUUAAUAAAAAUUAUUUAAAAAAAAAAAGAAACAGAUGGGGGGGUCCCCAAAGUUGCAAAGAGGAAAAAAAACAAAAAAAAACAAAGUACCACUGUAAUUUAUUAUUUAUAUGACGCCCAACAAAAAAUGGUAAAAGCACACAAUGCAGCAUCACAUACUAAAAACUUCCCCGAACAGAGCAGCCUAUAAAAAAAAUCACAUCACUGUUUAUCUGUUUGACGUCAUCUGCUGGGAAGGUGUUCCACAGGGUGGGUGCCGCUACCAAAAAGACCCUCUGCCUGGUUCCCUGUAACCUCACAUCUCGCAAUGAGGAAGGCCUUUGGAGCUGAACCUCAGUGUCCAGGCCGCAUGAUGGAGGUGGAGACAAUCGUUUAGGCCAACUCCUGCCUUUGGUUACCAUUAGGCUUCUGUUUCCAGAGCCUGUUGCUUGAGAAGAAUAACCCUUUGUGUAGAACGUAACAGCUCUAUACAGUACUAGACAACUAGAUAUGUACUGUACUAUAUACUAUAUCUAUACUAGAUAUAUUAGAUAAAGGAAUUAUUAUUAUUAUUUGUUGUUAUUAUUUGUGGAAUUCAGAACUAUCCCACCAGCGUCCCAUUCCCAUUGUGCUGUUCUGUAGUGUUCUCCCAAGUCAGUUUCCUGGGGUGCAGGAUGUUGGGCUAAACAUCUUUCAGAGCUAGUUGACUAAUAUUUGAAAAUACUGAUAAACUCUUUUAACUGUGACUUCACUUUUUGUGUUGUACAGAAGGAUGACAUUCCCCAGUUACUUGUGCAGCACACAUGCACUCAAUAGCAAACUCAAUUGAGUUUAAUGGGACUUACUCCCAGGGAAGUAUGUGUAGGAUCGCAACCUUACUGAAUCAAUUCAAUUUUUCUGAGCAUCUGGGUAUAGUUGUUCUCUUCCUAUUGUGCCUCAGUUCUGGUCCCGACUAUCUUAAAUUUAAGGGACAAAUUGCAGCUGUGUGACAGAGCCUAGGCAAACAGUAGAAGUCUGUGAUAUGCAAUAGGACUUUACACUGUCAGAUGGAGGUGUUUUAAAUGCUAUUAUCCAAACAGUGUUCUCGCUCAUCUGAAAUACUGUAUGUACUCAGGCGGCUCAUCUCAAAAAGGGUAUCGUCAAAUUGGAGAGUGUUCAAAGGAGAACCGCAAAAAAUGAUUAAGGACUGAGAGGAGCUCUCCUGCAAAGAGAGAGAUUUGAAAGAUCUGGUUUGUUUAUUUUAAAGAUGAGACAAUUUAAAGUGGCAAGGCUAAAGGUCUGUAAAAUAAUGAAUGGUAUCAAGAAGGCAGAUCAGGAACUAUUGCUGUUUCUGUUUUGCAGGAUGAGUGUGAUAUUGAAAUGCGAAGAUUGCAAAGUCCUAGCAAAGAAAAGGCUUUUCACAGUUAGGGAUAAUUUAGCCUGUGGAACACUCUAACACUGGAUAUUGCAAAUGUUACAAAAAUGGACUAAAUGCUUCUAAAGAGUAUUGUUUGCAAACCCAGCUGUCUUAAUAAGUGAAGGAUGGUUCAGCACCACAUGCCUGUCAGUUUCAAGAUAUCAUAUUCAUCUCCGAUCCAAUAGCUAAUACUCUUGACGUAGCAUCCAUGCAAUAAUAAUGCUCUGACAGUUCAUUGAUCCAAGAGGUACAUAGCCUAGCAGCACCUUAUAGGGAUGAGUGGAAUGUAUGGUGCUGCUGUGUCAUAUAUUCGCUAGGCACUUUGAUGACAUAAUCACUUGCCUUCAUGCUGAUCUUCAAUCCAGUCUCUGGUAAGGUAUCCAGCACCCUGUCUUAUUCACUUCUGUGGAAUGAGUUUCAUUUAUUGAGGCCUGAAGGUGUGGACAAGGUGCUUUUGGCUGUCCAUGUCUUACUUGCGCUCUCCUGCCCAUCCUGGCUCGUUCGUGCAAGUUGUGGGUGGGAGAGUGGACUGGCUGAAUCUAAGAGGAGGUUAAUGCAUUCUUGCAUGAGAAGAAGAAGAGAAGAGUUUGGAUUUGAUAUCUUGUUUUAUCACUACCCUAAGGAGUCUCAAAGCGGCUAACAAUCUCCUUUCCCUUCCUCCCCCACAACAAACACUCUGUGAGGUGAGUGAGGCUGAGAGACUUCAGAGAAGUGUGACUAGCCCAAGGACACCCAGCAGCAGCAUGUGGAGGAGCGGGGAAUCAAACUCGGUUCACCAGAUUAUGAGUCCAGUGCUCUUAACCACUACACCACACUGGCUCUCACCAGUGAGAGGGUGGUCACCAUUGCUUUGUUGGAGGUGUGCAUCUCUUCCUGGAAAAACCUAUCCUGAACGCUGGGGUAUUUGACAACUGUUGCCUGAUUGCUAAUACCCACUUUUUUGGGAAGGUUGUGACACUUUUGGAGUUAACAUAAUUUGGACCAAUUCCAGUCUGGGUUCACGUAUAGCUUUGGCACAGAAUCGGCUCUGGUUGCCCUCUUCAAUGGGGCAACAGGGAGAGUGUGAAUCUGUUGCUCCUGUUGGACCUCUCAGUGGCUUUUGAUACCAUGACCAUGGUAUUCUCCUGGACUGUCUCCAUGGGCUGUGAGUUGGAGGUGCUGUUUUAUGGUGGUUCUGCUCCUACCUGCAUGGCCAGUCUCAGAGGAUAGCAUUGGAGGACUAUGUGUCCAGAUUCUGGCAGGGUAUCCCUAGUGGUAUAUGAAGCCAUUAGGAGCAGUCACCAGGAGAUUUGUGGCAUGGUGUCAUCAGUAUGCUGAUGACACCCAACUCUUAUCUCCCAAUUAAUUCCAAGCCUUGCAGAAGCUGAACCCAGGGCUAGAUUCUGUGGUGGGCUGGAUGAGGGCCUGAAGCUGAAUCCUGUUAAGACAGAGACACUGUGGGUGAGUGGUUUCCAGGUCUGAAGAGCACCUGUCACCCAAUAUUUUCAGGAAUAACUUGGCCACUGUGACUCAUAUAUUGGUAGCCUCACAUUUAGACUAUUGUAAUGCACUUAGUGUAGAGCUUCCCUUAUGGGUGGUCCAGAGGAUGCAGCUGAUGCAGAAUGCUGCAACCCAAGUGGUCAGUGGUGCUUUGCAUCAAGCACUCCAGUGCUAAGGGGUCUGCACUGUCUGACUGUUAUUACCAAGCCAGUUUUAAGGUCCUGCUACUUACUUUACAGAGCUGUAAAGACUUAUGGACUAGGAUAUUUGAAAGACCGCCUUCCCCUCCAUUGCCUGAUAAAGGCAUUCAGAUUGACAAAUGAAACCCAGUUAGAGUUGCAGUAGUACUAUUAUUAUAUAUUAUUACUAUUAAUAUAUAUUAUAUAUUAUUAUUACUAGUACUACUAGUAUUAUAAUGGUCGGUGGUAACAUAGAGAUGGGCUUUUUGAGGGGUGGUUGCCAGUGUUGGGAAAUUCUCUCCCUGUUGAAAUACGAGAGGCCCCAUCAAUAUUGGCAUUCUGCUGGCUCUAGAAGGCAUUCCUCUGAUUUCCUGACCUGAACCUCCUGCUUUCAUUGUUUUAAUUGCUAUUUUAACUUUGAAUUGUUGUGCUCUUUUAUUGGGCUUUUAUUGUACUUUUUAACCGUGGAUGUUAUUUUAACGAUGGAAUCGUUUUAUAAUGCAUUUUAAUUAUGUGUGUUGUUUGUAAUUGGUUUUAUACUUGUAAACCACUUAGGAGCCACUUUGGCAAUUAAGCAACAUAUUAAUUAAUUAAUCAAUCAUAAUAAUAUAUAUUGAUUCAGCCAAACUCUGUACAUUAAAGACAUGGGCAAGGAUAUUGUGUAAGUGAAGCAUCAGUCUUUUGUUGGAUUCUGACAAUCUUUACUUGCCCUGUAACUGGAGACAAGCUACCAAGUGCAAGCCACAAAUCUGUUAGUAAGCACCUUCCUUUUACAGAGGAUGUCUUGCAUCCUCAUCAUGCUGAGGAAGUUGAUUAUGUGUCAUGCAAGCUAGGAGAAUAGCUUCCUAUAUAUGAUGCUUUUGUACUAUGCCAGCAGCAUAGGAAGUAUUUCCCUACAACUCUUUGAGUUUCCACAUUGCAUGAAGUUUUGUGCAUUGUUUCCAUGCUUGAUAUGACAUCUUCCACUUACACCAAUGUGCUCAGGGUACUACAGUGAAUUGGCACAGGGACUAAAAUGACAGGCAGGUGCUUUGCAUAGAUCACGCACACUGAAUCAGCAGGUCUAAAUCCCAACAGCAAACUUUUGUAGGCAUGCCAUUAUAAUCCUAUUCGUACAGGUAGCUAACAAAAAGUGAGACACUUGGUGUGAGCCCAUGCUAUAAUAUUAUGGGAAUUUGAUCAAUGCCUUUCUCCCUAGGCUUAAGAUUGCCUGGUCAUUAAUGGGAGGCAAUGCAACUAAUGUGCAAUUUGGCUGCUAUAGUGUAAAGUCAGCUUGGAAAGUACCUUGAGUCACAGCCAUCUGGAACCAGAUUUGCUAAGCAUUUUCAAAGGAGGAAUAUUUGGGAGAGGGACACGUUCCAAAGUUGCUGAUGGUGCUUUGCGACGAGCACUGCCUGCUUAGAUGCAUUUUGCUGUAUCCUUUAAUUCCUGUUCAAUCUGCAUAUCUGUAAGUAAAGAGACCACUACAAACACAUACAUGUUCAGUGUACCCCUCUCCAAAGGAAACACCUUAGUAAAGGAUGCCCUGAACUUUUCACAACUCCAAAUAAUAUCCUGAGGUUGCUACCCGGUAGAUCUAUGGCUCAGCUUCUAUUUGAAUCUCUGCUUUCCCAGUUCUAGUCUGUCAGACAGUCUAUUGAACCCAAAUGCAAUCCUUUGCAACGAAAGCCUGUUUCUGAAUCAGGUGGAACUUGGCAACAGAACCCUCCGACAUGAACAUCAGUGGAACGGUCACUUUCAGAAAAAGGUACCCUGAAAAGAAAUCCGGUCAACCACAGAUAGGUGUGCUGACGUCUUGUUUUGGCUGCAUCAAUUCUCCACGGUGCACGCCGAGUGCCGUUCCUCCUAGCAAAACGAUCUGUGCAAGUGGAGCAGAGAUUUACAGCGGCUGACAACCGGCCCCUUCCACUCCUACUUGUAACACAGUGUUCCCAUCGAUCCUUCCCCAGACACUGACACUCUCAAAAUGGAAUGAGCGGCUUGUUCCCAUUGGCAGUGGGGAAGGAUUCUUCAAUAUUCCGCUGAGCAACAAGACAGCAGCAAGCAACAGUAGCAGCAGCAGCCAACCGCAGCAGCAGCAGCAGCAGCAGUCUCCGGCCCUCUGCAGCAGCCCAGCCCGUGUGCCAACACCACAUCACAAGCUCCACAAUCCACCACGCCCCUCAGCAGCCACCACAAUUGCUGUGACAUCCAAACUGCCUCCAGCCAUGGCAACAUGCCACCUGCUAUAGCAUCUCUUACUUGCUGUUACGCCUCACUGUGACUUUCACCACCACACCACACCACACGCUGCAGAAACCCAUUGCCGCCACACAGGCAGAACAGUAGCAUGUUUCAGAAGAAAGAAGAGUCUGGCUGGGACUCAUUCAUCUAUGGGAACGUAAUUUUAGAAAAUGAAAUUGUAUCAAUUUUUAAUCUUGGAGACUGAGGAAGGGGCGAGAGAGAAUCCAGUGCUGCCAGCUUCAGUGGUUUUUUGGAGUUUUUUUUUAAACCCAUAACAAAUCACAAGCCAAAUGCUUAGACCAGCUGAAAAGAUCUUUCAUUCCCCUCCCCCUCCAGAAAAUUGUAUUCUUUGGACUGCAAGCUGUAAUCUUUUUAAUUUUUAGAAUGCACAAUGAAAGCUUUAGCUGAUUAAUUAGUGGGGGCAAUUUUGAUCAGUAGGCUUAAAUAUAUAUAUAUAUAUAUAUAUAUAUAUAUAUAUAUAUAUAUACUAUAUAUGUGCUUUGGCUCUGAUAUGAUAUGAUGCCAUAGCAGGGACAAUAUUAGCUGAGGCCUUCUAACAGUAAAUGAUAGAUUUCUUUAUUAAACUAUAAGUUAUAUUUUGCUCCCUCCUGUAUUUCAGAAAGGGUACCCAUAUUGAGGUUUAGGAACUUACAUAUUUAUUUAAAUUUAUUUAAAUACGAAUUAAGUAAGAAUUACUACCAGGUAAAGUAUGCAUAGAAUUUGUUUAGGAAUCACUUCCCAUAAAACAUAAACGAUUUAACAAUAAAAACACAUAUAAAAAUUAUUUCAAUUUUGGCACAGACACAGAUUGAGAAAAGCAAAAAAUCCACUUAAAGGACUUGUUGGAAAAGGAAGGUCAAAUAAAUAACUUCCUGGACAUAUAGGUUGUCCAUCAAAACGGAGCUCAAAGCUGUUUCUAAAUGUUAAAUAAACAAUCAGUAAAGCACAGUUAAAUAAUAAUACUUAAAACAACUAAAAUUUAUACAAACCUCAACAAACAAUGAAAUGAAGUGCUGGCAAUUCAUAAUGAUUGAUUAAUUGGUGAAUGGUUAAUUUAUUGGUUGAUUAAAUAAAAGGAAGAUUGUUAAUCAACUUUAAACUCCUUUAAUUUGGUGACAGCAAUAAGCAUUUUGUACUGGUUUAUUGCAAAAAUUCACAGCCUCUUCUGCGCUAAUGGGAGGAGGGACUCAAGUCUAACUGGAAGUUGUGCAGCCAUCUGACCUGGGAGCUCAGUGAUCCCUGAUCCCUGCUGUGGAAGGCUUGCUUCAGUUACUGAGGGGGAUGAAGCAAAUGCACUCUCCCCAUGCUCAGUGGCACUCUUAAUAUUCACUUGGGAAACAUGUUUUAAAGCCUGUUGACAUUGGAAAUCUGGCAUUGGAAAACACAUAGAUAUAAAGCAAUUCAGGCUGCAGUAUGAGGCUUUGUGCUUCAAGCCCUGAUCAUGAGAGACAUAUGGCUGCUUAAUUUCUUUGACAAACAGAACUCAGUCCAUUUGGAUUCAAAUCUGCAAGCAUCCAGGAAGACGAGGAAGAAGCUCUGGCAAGCCCUUAUGUUUUGUUCAACUCUUGCAAGGCCAUAGUUGCAAGGCCAAAACUAUUGCUCUUGAGAUCUCUGGGGAAAGGCCAAGGUAGUAAGAAUGCACUGGCCUAAGGGGACACAAAAUGUAAAAAAAAAAAAAAGGAUAGGAGAAGAAGGUGGGUCAUCCCAAAGUGUGGGGGCCAGUGCAGCCACCCCUAUUCACCACCCCACAACUCUGCAGGGACAACUCUGAUAUUGGCCACCAAAAACAUGGGUUCUUAUCACUCUCAUUCCUAGCCCAAUCAAGACACAUUCUCUUAUUUAUUGUAUAUGUUUUUGACUGUAGUUCUGUAUACCACUUAGAUAUUUUUAGAUGUGGACACAUUCUAAUAUUAUAGAGCUUUGCUACAGUCAAAGGGAGUAGCAGUGCUGGUGUGUUGCCACAUUCAGUUUUAAAUUUUAAAGGGUGGGAAGAUGUGAGGUUGCCUCGUACAGAGUCAGACCAUAGGUUCCAUCUAAUUCAAUAUUGUCAAUGAAAUGGCUGACAAUGGCACUGUGGGGUUUUGGGUAGGGAGACACUACCUGGAGAUGCUGUGAAGUGAAGAAUGUGCUCUAUCCACUGAGCUUCAGCUGUUCCCAAGGAUGCAUGAGUGCUCCUGUGAUUGAGCUGCAGAGUGGGGUGUGGGAUUAAACACCCACCCACCAAUAAAAAAUACAAUAAAACAUAAAAUACUGACAAAUUGUGAGCAUUGGGGAAUCUGUCUUGCUUGUUGCACUUGUUGAACCUCACUCUGCACAACAUAAACUGCUACGAUUAAUGUGUGUUUUGUGGUAGGCGGGAAGACCAUUGCAUCUUCCCAGCUACCAAGUAUUGUAAGUGAAUGCUAGGGAAGUGCAGGUUGCCUGCUGCAGAAGUGCUCGCUUGAGGGAAGAUGGUUUGGAUUCCAUGCAAUGAACUGACUAACCAUGGUGGAAAGGGCUGCGUGCUAAACACUGCUUGGAAAGACCUUCUCAGAGAGCAUCCAAGGUUGUUGCCCAAAUGAGCUUGGUGCAGAAUGUUUUUGUAUCCGAAUGUUUCGGUCAUGGUUUGCCGCUUCUAAGCUGAAGUCACCCCAUAGGGCUUGCCAACAAGGCAAAUGUGAGCCUUCUUUCCUCAUGGUUUCAGGCCUCAGACCAUAGCUGUCAACCUUCCCUUUUUUGGUGGGAAAUUCCCUUAUUCUAGCACCGUUUCCCGCUGCUUCCUGCUGCUAUCCCGGAUUGUUAGAUAUCCCGUAGACUGUCCCCGGGACAGGUGAGGCUGCUGAUCCCUUAUUUUUGAGGCUGCUGAUCCCUUAUUUUCAAAUCUGAAAGUUGACAGCUAUGCCUCAGACCCAUGGCUCAGCCUUCGGCAUCUGGAUGCCAUCAGAAGCAUGGAAGAGGCAGAGUCAAGAAAUUGGGAGGACAGGGGCUUAGAUUGCUGGAGCAAGCUGCCCAAACCAAACCUUGACAGCAGUCAAACAACCAGGGUGUUUUCCCCACCAGCCUGAAGUCAAUUCUGGCACCUCUCAGGUGGGCGCCAUUGCCAUUCUAAGAGAACAAGGGAGGUGUUCAUGGUGAGUUCUUUUUGCUGCCACUCUUUCCCUUAUUUUGCUUACAAAAAUAGCACUGCAAACAACCAAGGCCCAAUCCUAAUAGGGGAACUAGCCAACCAGGCUCUUCUGGUACUGUCUUAUGUUAGUUGUUAGCUUAUCAGAGCUGUGACAUCUCUCUCAGUCUCCAAUUCUGCUGAGCCGAUUUCUGACACUCUCUCUGUUACAGCCUGCAAACACGCAAGAUGGGUGCCUAUGAGAGAGACAACUCCCUCAUAAAAGGUGGCAUAUACUUCAGCUUCAUCACUAGGCAGCGUUGGAAAGCUGAGGAUGGGGAGGGGGAACAGGAUAAAGGAGAGCUGGGUUCUCCUGUUAGUCAGCACUCUAUAAACAACACAAAUGAGCCUACACGAUAGAGGAAAAGCCCAGCUCCACAACUGAUCGCUUCUUCCCCUGGUAGCCACAGAGAAACUGACAACAGGGAGGCCCUGUUGCUGGAGAGAAGAGAAAGCAGCCCAAUGGCUGACCUCAAAGUCUGACACCCACACCCCUUGUCUUGGGGGGGGGGUUAAGUCCAUGACAAUCUUCUGACAUGUUUGACAAUGAAAGGCAGCCCUUGCCAGGUCAACCCCGAAGGAGGCGACCUGUGACCCAGCAUGCGGUUGCAUCUCAUUAAAAACAUAUAUUUCCAUUUCUGUAUCGACGGGCUCACAAGGUGUCAUUAAGGAAAUAUUGCAGCCCUAGGGCCAUGGCGUCAGCUAGCAGUUGCCAGCGCAUCGGUGCAGACUGUCGAGUAAACACAGCAGUGAUGGUGCAGGGACAAAGUCUCUGGGCUUGCAAGGACCAGCGGCUGCUCCAGAUUGGUUCAGCAGGCACAGGAUGGACAGGAGGGAGAGAUUUGCUAGAAGAACCCGAUGAAAGAUUACACUUUGUUUGGUGCAAGAGGCCUGUUUAAUCAAUUCCAGAGGACUUGGCGGCUGGCAGCAGAGCUGCUUACCUGGCCAGAGGAAAGAUCAGCAUUUGGCAAGGUCAAAUAAUGGUCAAGCUCUCUUAGCUCUUGAUAGAGGAAAGCAAUGUCUCUUAGUGAAGCCCGAUGCUAUCCGUAGGUAGUUUUUAAAACUGCCUUCCUCUAUGUGGUCACCCCCAUAUGUUUUGGUCUUCAACUCCCACCAGUGCCAACCAGGUUGGAGAAGGCUAUCUCAAAUUACGGCAGAUGUUCUCUCUUAGUCACCUCACCCAUUGGCUUGAUUUGUAUUGAUUUGUCACUGCUGCGAUCCCUGAACCUUCCCAAUUUCCACUGCUAGGCCCAUCCCACGUGGUCCUCCAAGGUUGCUCAGUUCAUCAUCUGUCUUGAAGCAUUUUGUUCUAAACCAGUGCAUUAUUUGCUGCAGUUGCAAUUGCCUGUCUAGAAAGAGGAAUAGUACUUCUCCUUCUUCUAUGCUUGCGAAUCCGACAUGAGCUUCAAAGAGCAUUUGCCCCUUUUAAACCAAUCCAAAUGUUGUGAGUGCUCCAAAACCUUAUGAAUCCAACUAAGAAAAGAAUGUACUCCACAGCCAGAUAAUGAAAUCUAAUUGCUAUAAAAGUCCUAGCUUUAUGCUACCGUUAACACAUUCUUUGAGACCAAUUAUGUUUCUGUCCUAUGGUGUCAACCUUUUACGCUACUUUUUAAUGUCUUGGACUUGAAGCACCAUUCCCAACAAUUGACCCUCUCCUGUUAUUUGGAAUCCAAUAUUAAUUUGGAAAAUUCUCUCUCUCCACCACCCCGGAAUCUUUUCCUCCAGUUGACACAAUUUUUUUGGCAAAGGGAGACAUUGGGAUUGAGGUUCCCCUAUACACAUAGUUUAGUCCUUUGUGCUCUUAACAUUGAAGCAAGUGGAAUAUAUGACUCCAAGAGGAAGUCCUCUUUCUGCCCCAAGAGCAGCCUUGAGUGAUGUGAAUCAAGGGGCUGGAUUUCUAUCAGCAAGAACUGUUUCCUCCUCCUGCAAUUAAAAUCACUUGAAUUUGGCCUUCAGGAAUAUAGAGGAAGGGGAAAUCCUGUCUUAGGAGUUAGCAAGUGAAGCAACAGACAGCCUAGAUGAGAGGCUUUGUAAUCUGUGGCUGGAAACAAAUUUUGGCUCUGGGCAAAUUGGAUAACUUUGGAAUUGAAUUAGACACUCUUACCAGGUGCUCAGAAUCAAAUGAAGAGAAGGCAAGUGGUUUCUUUCCCUUACGAAUAGCCUUUUCGUUCCUGAGUUCUUCACCAUGGAAUCUGCUUAUCAGGAGACUUAGGACUCAGCUACAUUAGUCAAAAAAAUAGUGUUUUGAAUAUGUUAUAAACAUGCAACACCAGAUGGUACUGUAGAGCAGAAAACUUUUCUAUGCAAUUUUACAUAGCGUUCCCCCCCUUUCUUUAUAACAAUUUAAUUUCUUGAUUAUUUUUAGCAUUGUUUUUCCCUCUGUGUGUAGAUCCACCCUGAGUCUUCCUGUCCUUGAUAAAGGCAUCUCUCAACUAUAUUUUACAGACUGUUUUCUUUGGCAGGGGGAGGGGAGCAAAUAACACUGAACUCCUAAGAAUGUAUAGAUAAUAUAUUUUACUGGUUGGUUUUCAAAUCUCUGUGAGAUAUACAUUGUCCUUGUUUUCACAUAACGGUAAAUAGUGGUUUAUUAAACUAUGGUUUAUUAAACCAUGGCUAGGUGUUAUGACUGAACCCUGCCCAGUAACUUAGAUAUGUUUUGUUCACUGCCAACAAACCAUGAUCUAAAGCCAUGGUUUGUUGCUGUCUUGUGAAUCUUGGUUUGUUUUAAAUAUGGCUUGGUGUUACAUACAAAUCCAACAGCCUUCCUUAACCAUGGUUUGUUUGGCCAACCCACCCCAGACUUUCAUCGUGCUUCAAAGACAUGAAACAAGAGCAGCUGGGAAACAAAUCAAACUUUGGAGAACCAAGCCAUGGUUUGUCUAAUCAACUGUGUGACAAUUUGGGGUUAACUGGUCCUCUCCCUGCCCCUGUAAUAAAAGCUUGAGAAGCUAGUGGGGCCAUGCCAGGAACACCUUCAGCUGCUUUAUUUCUGCAUAUAGGGAACAGGACCCAAAAGGUGAUUAUCCUAUAUCUUACAUCCUAAACUGAACAUGUCUUGACUCAACAUUGGGACUUGAAGGUUUCUAUUUUCUUUUUAACUGAGAGUCUUGAAUUAAUAUUGUGAUUUUAAAGAACUGUAGGAUUCGUUCCCAAGGGGUGGCAGCAUUAAAACCAUGUGCUUCUCCUCCAGUAUAGUGUUCCUUGAAUCCAGUAGCAAGGAAGCAAAAAAUAAAAAUUGCCCCCUCCUGCCCACUCUCUUUUUUUGCUAGCACUGCUGGGUUUGUGCAUUUAUUUCCAUGGUUUUACUUACAGAGGCUUCCUGUUGGCAGACUGUUCUGCUACAGCAGCCGAAAUGCAACAACCUGAGCAAAGUCCCUAGAGUAGGGUACGCACUUCGUGCAGCUGCCUAUCACUGCAGCGUGUCUAAAGCAAAGCUAAUAUAUGAAAUAAUUCUCUGUAGAAUUGAGCCUGUAAGUUAACUGCUGUUUGAAAUGAGUCCUUUUGCUAAAAAGGUGAAGGGCAAUGUAAUUUUUGCCAUUACAGGCAAAGUCUGACUCCUGUGUUUGACUUUUCAAAUCCCCUUCAGAGCUCUAGAAUGGUCUGUUUGUCAAACUGAGAGCUCAACCUCGCUCUGCCAACUCCCAGUCAUAUAUGGAAAUUCACUUCCAGUGGGAUGGGGCUUCCUGAUCCACGUAAGGGUCACUUCCUUUAAUCUGGACCCAGAGGACCUUCUAAGCAACUCCAGAGAGAAUGACACGUGGCUUUCCUUAAUUUUUCCCUAAGGCUGUGCUCAUGACAGGCAGGUUUAACAUGCACACACACACACACACACACAUUUUAUGUUCUAGUGCAGACCUAAGACUCCUACAUGUGUCCACUUAAGGCACAUUUCUCUCAUUAUACUGCAGCAAAUCUGGGUUUGUUAGCAAGCAGGAGCCACAACCAAUCAUUUGCCCCUCUCCCUAUUGUGAUCAACACGUUUCCAAACCAGAUGUUUGUCCCUUUUGCACACUUCAGUUUCAGGCGUGCAAUUAAAUUCACUGUGUUUGCCAAAAAUAUGUUAACGUGUGAACAGUAGCGUAGCAUGGGCUGCCAGUGCCCGGGGCUGUGCGGAGGGAUGGGAGGGAGGGAAACUGAUGGAGUACAUAUGCACAUUCAACUGCAAAAUAGUGUCUGCGUCACCCAAGAGAUCACAGCUGCAGAGGUAAAAAAGAAGAAGAGCCAUUCUGUUGUCUGGAGAGGUCACUUCCUGGUUUGCACGGGGAAGCCAUUUUCAGCAACGGAAGCAUGCAGCUGUAUUGAGGCAGCCCCGGGUGUUGAAAUGUUGUGUCCCUAACAAUUUUGCGACUGGGGCAACCACCCCUGUGGCUCCGCCCCCGCAACAGUAUGCCAGUGUGUGUGAAAUGUCCAAAGAGGUUGAAAGCAACUUGCAUCUCAAUCCACUUCAGGGAAGGGCUGAUUCCCACAAACUGAACAUAAGAAGAGCCUGCUGGAUCAGACCAACCAGAUGCCUAUGGGAAACCCGCAAGCAGGAUUCGAGCGCAGGAGCACUGCUUGUACAUGCAUCUCAUCAUUGUGAUCACACAGCCAGCUUGUGAUUAGAUGGGGAAGGGUGAGUUGACACAAGAUGUAAAAAUAAAUAAAUUACAAAUUCUAUUUAUAGUCAAAAGAAUUGCCACUCUGCCCAAGGUGAAAGUGAAUAAAAAAUAGAGGAAAGGCACAUCAGGUUUAAUUUAGAAUUCAACCACCCUGAAUUAGGGCAUAAUAAACAACGCCAAAUUCAUGUUCUGUUAUCAGGCAGGCAGGGGAGAGACAUUGUCUUGGGGGUUUACUCCCAAGUAAGUGAGUCUAGCAUUGCAGCCAGGAACACCAUCCUAUAUGAAGUGAAUCCCAUUGGAUUUGAUAGGGCUUACUCCCAGGCAAAUGUGCACAAGACAGUGCAACCCUCUACAGCCUCAACCAGAGCCAGGGCCUUUUCAAUACUGGCUCCGGCCUGGUGGAACGCUCUGUUUCAUGAGACCAGGGCCCUGCAGGAUCUGAUUUCUUUCCGCGGGGCCUGUAAGACAGAGUUGUUCCGCCUGUCCUUUGGCUUAGAAUCAACUUGAUCCCAUCCCCCUCUUUCCAUUUUUCCUUUCUCCUUCUGUGAUGGAACUCCUAUUUGGGGACUUCCCUGGCUUUUUUCUGGCCCACGUAGGACCAGUCUGGAUAGUUGGCCUUGGUGAAGACUUGAUGUUUUCAUCCCCCAAAAAGUUUUUGAUUUGAGUUCCUACUGAAAUGAGGCCACAUUUUAAUGUUGUAUUUUAAUCUUGUUUUUAAGUUGUAUCUCAAUCAAUUGUUUUUAUAUCUUGUGUUAGCCUCCCUGAGCCCAGUCUUGGCUGAGGAGGGCAGGGUAUAAAUAAAAUUUAUUAAUAUUAUUAUUAUUAUUAUUAUUAUUAUUACAUGCUAGCUUGGAAGUAAGUUCCAUUAAAUUCAGCGUGGUUUACACCCUGGUUUGUGUAUAGGAAUGCAGCCUUUGCACUUGGGAGCUUCAGAAGCCAAGCCAGCUCUGAAGCAAAUCUAGCAGGCCAUUUCCUGUGGCUUCUGCCUUUGAUAGCCAGACUGCAGUGCGUUCUUCUCCCCUCUGAUCCGUUGAGGAAAGGGGUCCUGCCCAGGGAGUGUUGUGUCAUUCUACCUAAAUAAUAUCUCAGCCCUAUGAAACACACAGGGAGCUGCUAGCCUAUUCUGUGUAGGCUUUGCAAGUAGAUGGUGUUAGUGAAGUGGAGGAAGGGGGCUUGGGAGGUACUAAAAUGUGAAAAGAGCAAGGGGGUGGGGAGAGGGGAGAGACAAAGCCCCUGUGUCAGCACUUUGUCUUUCACUGGGAGUAGGGGCAAAAACUGCCCUUGAGACUGAAAGCAGAGUGGGGAGGGGGUUCUGGAAUUGCCCCGUGGCAAUGGGAAGAAAAGGCCUUCUGUUUAGUCGCUGAACAAGUGGGGGGAGCUUUUGAUGUUGGGGAAGAUAAUUAAUGUCACAAAUGUCUGCAGUGAUGAUAAUAAAUGCAGAUGGAGAGGUAGACAGCAGAAUCUGGAGUCCAGCAACUAUAAUCCCCCGAGGGGCAUCCCACCCACUGGAGCAACCACUCAAGCCACAUUCUUCUGACAGCACACACACACACACACACACACACACACACACACACACACUCAUUCCCCUCCUGUUGGAACCCCUCCCUCAGUAUCUCCCACCUUCAAAACAAAAGUUUCUCUUACUCUCACUCUUGUUUCUGCUUGGCUCCUGUUCCUCAUUCCACUGGCAGCGUGUACUCAAAGAUCCUGCUCUCAAGAUGAUGUAUAUUUUUGAGAAGCUCUUCCCCUUAGUUAAGAAAGUCCCAGCUGAAUCACAAAAGUAUUGGGGUGUGACACACAUAUAACUUUCCAAGAGUGCUGAGUAUACUCUGCUGCUGCUGCUGCUGAUAAUAAUAAUAAUAAUAAUAAUAAUAAUAAUAAUAAUGCACAAAGGUAUCCCAAAUGAAAGAUGAAAUGUUGCGAUCAACGUAAUUUAAGCACCUUUGUUUAUUUUGGUUCUGCUGAUCAUAAAGAGAGCAGGUGGUUCCAGCCACUUGGGGACUUGUGAGCACCUUUUCAAAGCGGAUAAAGUAUUGUGGGCACCACAAACACAAGCCCUGCAACAUGCUCUAUUGACUACAGCAGAAGGGUUCUCUCAAGCCUAAUUUUAGGGGUGGGCACCCUGAAGGCUUCUGAAGGGUACACAGACACUACCUUGGGGCCCCCAUACCACUGUUUGGCUGCUGGGUAUCCUUUUUAAAUACCUCCCCAUCUCCCAAGCUUCUACGAUUCUACCCACAAUUCCCCACACAUUCUGAAUUCUGUCGACACAGACCUAGACAAGGUCUAGACAAGGGAGUGAGAAAGCUUCUUCAGUUUGAUGGCCACUUUCCCUUUAGGACAACCUUCUGAUGGCAACAUGGCAGUGGUGGGCGAUUCCAGAGGCAGAAGCAGGCAGAGCAGCAAAUGCACAUUUCUGUCGUUCUAUAGGAGGUCACUUCCUACACACAUUCACAAAUCCACCUCUGCCCUCUGUCCAGGCAAACAAGAGGCAUUGACAAGAGUCCAAGGACAAAUUCUAGCCAGGCAAAAACAUUUGGGGUGGAAAACAGAGUGUGGCCUGGGGAGAGUUCCAAGGGCCAGGUAGUGAGGCCGGUGUGUGUGUGUGUGUGUGUGUGCACGCACAUUUGCCCCCUAGCCAUGAGAUUUCCAACCUAGAAGCUUGCACUUUAGAUGGGGGAUGGUGGGGUGGAACCUGAGUGUCUCAGGUUGCAGAAGAGUGUUACCCAAUAUUAAUUUCUUUUGUGCUUCCACAGAGUAAUACUGUGGAAGACGUAACCUUGAGUUUACUGCUUUACGCUGUUCCUUUUAUGUGCAUCCAUGCGACAUCCCUGUGAUACACAUGCUUCCCAUUUCAUAGAUAAAGAAUGAAUUUUGGGAUUCAGUGAUUUACUCAAGUCCCGUUAGGAAAGAUCUUUAUCCACUGAACCUCCAGGGAUGCUUCCACACUAGAUGUUUCUUGCCUCGCUAUGGUACUUACUUCUAAGUAGACAUGUAUAGGAUCGCACCACUAAUAGUGCUUGAGGAGGCCUAGCCCUCCUUCAACUUUUCUCUAAUCCUUCACUUUGACUGGAGUUGCAGAUUCUCUGCAGGCGAAGAGGAAACCAUAUAACUCAUCUUGUUCCCAGGUUGCACUUCUAAGUGCUACUUUGCUUUCUGUCUGGAACAAAUGGACCUCUUUGUACUCUGCUGGGUUCAUUCUAAUAGAUUAGGAAGAUGCCUGCCAUUAUGGGGUUUGGGUGUGUGUGUAUAAGUAAGUCAUCCACUGUAUGGGAAGGAUGGUAAAUUGCCAGGCCUUGCAGCAGGGUCCAUUGCCAUUGCACCUCUUCCUCAAUGAGGAUUGGAUUCCAUUUUGUCCUCAUUAUAAACCAAUAUAAAAAUAUAAAAAGGUAAAGGGACCCCUGACCAUUAGGUUCAGUCGUGACCGACUCUGGGGUUGCAGUGCUCAUCUCGCUUUAUUGGCCGAGGGAGCUGGUGUACAGCUUCCGGGUCAUGUGGCCAGCAUGACUAAGCUGCUUCUGGCGAACCAGAGCAGCGCACGGAAACGCCGUUUACCUUCCCGCCAGAGCGGUACCUAUUUAUCUACUUGCACUUUGACGUGCUUUCGAACUGCUAGGUUGGCAGGAGCAGGGACCGAGCAACGGGAGCUCACCCUGUCGUGGGGAUUCGAACCGCCGACCUUCUGAUCGGCAAGUCCUAGGCUCUGUGGUUUAACCCACAUCGCCAACAAUAUACCAGAGUGCAAAGUUUUACUUCUCUGCAGCCAACAAAUGGCAGCUGUUCAUUUAGUGGGAGAAAGUAAAGGGAUGCUCUGAGAGACAAUUUAGGGGUGGGGGCUAAACCUGCUCCCUGCUCCUGGUGAUAUCAAUGGCACCGGCAAUUAAGAUCGAAGCACUGCUUUAGACUCUCUCUUGUUCUUGGUCACAGUAGAGCGUGACAGAAUGCUUGCUCACAAGUUCCAUGGAAUGCAGAUACAAGCUGUCUCUACACAUGUUCAAGUGUUUGUUUGAUUUGCUUGUACACUUGCUGAUUUGCACAGCUCAUCCUAUGCGAACACAGACUGUACACUCCUGGACUGUUACAUGUGAAUAAUUGUAGAAGCGUACAGCUCAACUGUUUGUGUACACACACGACAUACUCACUCGGUGCCAUGUGCACACACCCCUACUGUGUUGGGAAGUGGGUGUUCCAUAGCUAGAUGGCCUUCCAAUGGAAAAGCAUAGCCUACUCCUGAGAUUGCAGGUGCAAAGCAGCCCCAGUGAUUUCACAAGCAAAACAAAAGAGAGAGGGAAAACCUGACCCAAGUCACCAAAGAGGACAAAGAUAGCAAUAAACUUGUCACAUGGCCACCUUUUAAUUGUCCUCCUGUUUUGCUUUGCCUCUAAGCGCCUCCAAUGAAGCUCCAAUUUAAUGGCGCUCCAGCGUUACUCAAUGCGCAGAGACUUUUCCGACUGCAGGCGUUUCGAAGUGUCAUAUAUGCAAAUGUGAAAUAGUCCCCUUUUCCUCCCUCUGGGAGAGGUGUAGCCAGUCAAGUGCUUAAGCUGCUGCCUCUCCUACACUAAUCAUAGCAAUUCAGGCUAGCUAACCACAGCCUGACCGUUGUUCUCUCAUCUAUUUUUGCUCUGGUCUUCCAGAACAACCUCUUACCAACUUCCUCAAUCAGCACAGCUAAACAGUGUUUGCCACCCACUGGCAAGUGAAGAACCAUUUUGGAGUGCGGAGGGGGUUGGGGGGGAACCUUCCUGUCUCAAAGCUCUUAACCUGCUGUUUCCCAGCAACCUUCCAUCUCUCUGGAAGACUUGGCGCAUGCCUCCCUCUCUCUGAAUGCUUGUGCCUGGAUCUGAUUCUCUCUCCUGUCUCAAAGUGUGAGGUAGAUCUCCUGAGAAAUAUGCAAGCCACGAAUCUUCUCUGUGGAAGCGCAAAAGUAUAGGCUGCCACUCGAUGAUCUGGAAAUUACUUAUACAGUGGACGCUCGGGUUGCAAAUGUGAUCCAUGUGGGAUGCGCGUUCGCAACCCGCGUCUGCGCAUGCGCAGGUUGCGAUUUGGUGCUUCUGCACAUGCGCAAAGCGCGAUUUAGUGCUUCUGCACAUGCGUGACCUCCAAAACCUGGAAGUAACCCGUUCCGGUACUUCUGGGUUUUGGCCGUCCGUAACCCGAAAAAACACAACCUGAAGCGGCUGUAACCCGAGGUAUGACUAUAUUUGUUUAGUGGCGGUUAUACAGCACCAUCAAUUUGUAGGACUCCUGAUCAGUGCUUUUCUUCUAGAGAAAAAAAGGGUGCUGGUACUUGCCAUGAAUUUGUUGCAAUGAGUGCCACACUUUUAACCAGUGUUUUAAUUCUAGGGGGAAAAGGUGCCAGUACAGUGGUACCUUGGGUUACAUACGCUUCAGGUUACAUACGCUUCAGGUUACAGACUCCGCUAACCCAGAAAUAAUACCUCGGGUUAAGAACUUUGCUUCAGGAUGAGAACAGAAAUCGUGCUCCAACAGCGCGGCGGCAGCGGGAGGCCCCAUUAGCUAAAGUGGUGCUUCAGGUUAAGAACAGUUUCAGGCUAAGAACAGACCUCUGGAACGAAUUAAGUACUUAACCUGAGGUACCACUGUAUUGCAUACCCUCGAGUUUCCCCCAGAAAAAAGCACUGCACUUUAGUAUAAGAGAGCAAGUCUCUAUCCAGACAUCUAACAAUCUAUAAAUUGAUAGGCAGGAGGCAGCAGAAGAAAUGGAGACAAGAGCAAAUGGCGAAAAUGUGUGCUAUUUUAGUCACAGGUACUUAGGCCUUCUCACUUUAGGUCAAAGAAAGAAAACCUGCAGUCCUCUAGAUGUUACUGGACUACAAAGCCCAUCUUCCCUGCCCACUGGCCAUCCAACAACAUUGGGGGGGGGGCAAAGACUCACUAGCCUUCGCAUGAGGGCCGAGGGGCUGUACCAAAGGCUUUAUGGAAAAAGGAUUCUAAGGAUGGACUUGAAGGAAAGAAGAGGCAUCGCUCAUGUUUAGUACAGUGCAGUUUCAAGUACAAGGAACAUCAAGGACAAAAUGGUGGAGUUGUGGAAGAGAUCAGGAGCACUUUGAGUGACCGAGGACAGUGAUGCUGGAAGAGUGAAGGUCAUGGUCAGGGAUGUGUUUUGAUAUAAGAGCAGAGGGAUGCAGGAAGCGAGGUCAUGUAGGACUUGGAAGGUAAGGGACCUUCUGCUAGAUCUGGGAGUGGAUGUGAAGCCAGUGUAGGAAAUUUAAGGAUUUAAACUGUGUCCUUUACAAUCUAAUUUGUGUGCUCAUUCUCACAAUACAUUGUUCCGGGAUGAAGGAGGGAAGGUAUGUGGGGAGAAAACCUAUUACUUGGGCAAAUGCUUCGGCCUGCAGAAGACACUUCGGAUUCCUCACACCAAAAAUGUAAUCUAAUAAAUCGUUAAAGAAAUAAUAGUUGCCUCCAGGAGAUUCCUUGCCACUCCACAAUCUAUACUAGUGUGUUUUGGAAAGUUGUGACAGUGUGUGUGUUUAAAACAUGUGUGCCCCCCCCCCCAUCCAACCCUCUAGAUCAGGGGUCAGCAAACUUUUUCAGCAGAGGGCCGGUCCACUGUCCCUCAAAUCUUGUGGGGGGCCAGACUAUAAUUUUUUGGGGGGAGGGAAAUGAACAAAUUCCUAUGCCCCACAAAUAACCCAGAGAUGCAUUUUAAAUAAAAGGGCACAUUCUACUCAUGUAAAAACACACUGAUUCCUGGACCGUUCAUGGGCCAGAUUGAGAAGGCGAUUGGGCCGGAUCCGGUCCCCAGGCCUUAGUUUGCCUACCCAUUCUCUAGAUGUUAUUGGACUCCAGAUAGUCAGGGAUGAUGGAUAUUGUAGUCCAGCCACCUCCAGAAGGAUACAGGUUCGCUACCCUUGAUUUUUGUUCUUUUCUUUUUUUAAAGGAAACAUUUUUUAAAAAACUUUUUGGAACAUCCUCAGACUAGGGGAUGUUCAGCUGACACAUGAUCAUCACUCAUUGAAAUGAUUCUGUGGAUUUGCCCUUAGCUUCAAAUAAAAAGAGCCCCUGAAUUAGUCUGCGGGGACCCUAAACUCAAGGAGGGUGUUGACAAGCUGGAAAGGCUUCGGGGGAUAGCUGCAAAGAUGAUAAAGGGUCUAGAUAAAAGGUUCAUGUGAGAAAGGUCUGAAGGAACUGGCUACGCUUAACCUAGAGAAACAAAGAUUAAAGGGAAGGCUAGGCAGGUCAUUUUUACCUAUCAGCAUGCCUCUCAGAAAGAAAAGGUGGAGAUUCUGUUGCCUGCAUCCACUGUGGGUGGAACAUUUCAAAGCAAUAGCUAGUAGUGCAUUUAGGAUCUUUUGCAUUUCCAGCUUAUUGCACAAUAAAUCCACAUUGGUUAGGACUGUCCCCCCCACGCAGGUGCAAAUCAAGGCUGGUCACCAAGUGUGCAACAAAGCGUAGAUUUCUGGCUACUGUAUACCUGUGUCAUAAGGGACACGGGUGGCGCUGGGGUCUAAACCACUGAGCCUCUUGGGCUUGCCAAUCAUAAGGUUGGCGGUUCGAUUCCCCCAACGGGGUGAGCUCCCGUUGCUCUGUCCCAGCUCCUGACAACCUAGCAGUUCGAAAGCACACCAAUGCAUAUUGAUAAAUAGGUACCGCUGCGAUGGGAAGGUAAACAGUGUUUUCGUGCGCUCUGGUUUCCAUCACGGUGUUCCGAUGCGCCAGAAGCGGUUUAGUCAUGCUGGCCACAUGGAAAGCUGUCAGUGGACAAAUGCCGGCUCCCUUGGCCUCAAGCGAGACAGGUGCUGCAACCCCAUAGUCACCUUUGACUGGACUUAACCGUCCAGGGGUCUUUUACCCUUUUUACCUUUCCCCUAUACCUAUGUCACAGGCAUUUCUGAACAUCUGUUGGCCACAUUCGAAGUUUUCAUGUUUAGGCCUAUACCUGAAGGAGCGUCUCCACCUCCAUCGUUCUGCCCGGACACAGAGGUCCAGCGCCGAGGGCCUUCUGGUGGUUCCCUCGCUGCAAGAAGCCAAGUUACAGGGAACCAGGCAGAAGGCCUUCUCGGUAAUGGCACCCGCCAUGUGGAACGCCCUCCCACCAGAUGUCAAAGAGAAAAAUAACUACCAAACUUUUAGAAGACAUCCGAAGGCAGCCCUGUUUAGGGAAGCUUUUAAUGUUUAAUAGGUUAUUGUAUUUUAGUGUUUUGUUGGAAGCCGCCCAGAGUGGCUGGGGAAACCCAGCCAGAUGGGCGGGGUAUAAAUAAUAAAUUAUUAUUAUUAUUAUUAUUAUUAUUAUAUAGGUGGACAUCAUAAACAAGACCGAAAAAUUUCCCAAGUAUGUGCCUGCUUGUUUAUAUGAAUGUCCUUCCUAUGCUCACCAAUUCUGUUGAGCAAAUGACUGCAUGGAGGAGAGAGCAAUCUAUGACUGCUAGCCGUGAUGGCUGUACCCUACCACCAAAUUCCAGUUGCUGGAAAUUAUAAGAGGGGGCAGUGCUCUUGUGUUCAUGCUCUGCCCCCUCAUUUCCUGUAAGCAUCAGGUUGGCCACUGUGAGAACUAGGCAGACCAAUUCUAUGGGGGCCAAGGUGUGUUCAGCCCCCGCAAUAUCUGUUGGGAGGGGGAUAGGCCCCCUCAGCACUGAGGAGGCCGAGCGUGGAGCUGAGCGCAGCGUGGCAUGGCUUCAGUGGCCUCCUCCUGAGCACGAGAGAGGAGGAGCCACUGGCCAUUGAAGCCUCAACCUGCUGGGUUCCAUGCUUGUUCCCGACGAUGCAACAUUGCACACUCAAUGUGCGCAUGACGCCACACGCACACGACGGGGCCCCCCUCAGUCUUGGGACACAAGUCGGCGCCUCUGGUGAUGUCAGCCUCCGGGGAAUCAGGUCCCUCCCACGGACACAGCCAAGAAUCAGAGAAACGAUCAAAGUUCUUACCAUGCAAUUUAUUCAAUAAUUCACAGAGAGUGACAAAGGAAUGCAGCCUUCCCUAAAUAUGGCAUUGCUCCAAGUAAAGUCCCGUUACCCCCACGUCUCCCCUAUUCGACGUCAUUCCUAUGUUGGGUAAUCUGAGCUUUCUGCUGCUGAGCUCUCUGUUCUACUACCCUAGUCCUGGGGGGCGGGGGGCUGGUCAGGAAUGCUUUCCAAGGACACUGAAUCUGUCAGCCGUCUCUCCCCUGGUGUUUCUUCUUCUACUUCCUGCUGUUCCUCUUCCAAUAUUUCCCAGCUUCUGCCCUCUGCAGCCUCUGAAAUAUGCCCUUCUGCAAACCACUGUUCUAAAUCUAUACUGUCCUCCUGUUCUCUAGAAGCUUCAGGGGAAGGGGGAGGGUCCCCACUAUUCUUCCUCAGUCCAGCCCCUGACAGAUGAGACAGGAUGCUGGACUGGAAGGACCAAUGGCCUGAUCCCGCAGGCUGUUACGUUCUUAUGCUCACAAUCAUUUCUUCUGGCCUCUGAGCCUGUCUGGGAGAGAGAAGAUAAAACAGUAACAAUGGGAGGCAUUUGCAUGGGAAGAUACAUCAGGGUACAGGAUGGUGUGGAGAAAAUGGCUAGAGAGGUGAUUUUCUACCUCUCUCAAGGGGAAUAGAACCAGGGCUCAUCCAUCCAAGGAGAAGGAGUGCCAGGAGCUUCUAGAUAGACCAAAGGAGGUGCUUCUUCUCGCAGUGCCUAGUUAAGCUAUGGAAGAUGCAGUGGUGGCUACUUAAAGGGAGAUUAGAAUAAUUAGUGCAGGAUAAGGCUAUUAAUUUCACUAGCCAGGAUGGCUCUCUUACCUCUAAUAUCAGAGGCAAUACGCCUCCCGAGUACCAGUUAUUGGGGAUGACAAGUGGAAAGUGCUGUUGUGCUCAUGUGCCGGUUGUGGACUUCCCAUAGGCAUCUGCUUGACCACUGUGGGGACAGAAUGCUGGACCAAACGGACCUUUGGUCUGAUCUAGCAGGGCUCUUAGGUUCUAAAGAGCUUCAAACCACACCGCCACCCUUUCUAAAUGUAAAGAAUUCUUAAAACAGACAAGGAAGGCAGCAUGAAAAUACCUGUUGAGGACGCUUUAGGAAAUGUUUAUAUGUGGUUUUUUUAAAAAAAAUCAAAACCGUGUGUGUGAAUAGAUGUACCAUGUGGCAUGCAAAAUUGUGAUGAAUUGGCUUUAGAAAACACAAUGAUUAAGUACCAGGCAAACAUUCAUGUUUUAAAAACGCAGCUUUGGCUUGUUAAAUGCAUAUCUAGCUUAGGGCAAGGUGUUUUUUUGUUUACUUAGUUACCCUUAAAUUACUUCUGUGCUACCCCAUAAGAGGAGUUCUCUUGAUGGAAUACAUAACAGAAACUGCUAAAAUACUAGGAAGACAAUUUUUAAAAUUAAAAAUACCUUUAGUGUAAAAUGCCAAAAGAAUCAUAAACAAGUUGUGGCAGAAGUUAAGUAAUAAGAUUAAUUGAAUAAAAUUAAAUGCAAACAGGUCUUACAUGUCUUUAGAAAUGCCCGAACCUCAGAAUUGUUGUGAUUCCUGAUCCACUCCAUUCAUAGCCUUCCUUGGAGGUUUCUAAGCAGGGGCUGGAUGGCCAUCUGUCAUGAAUGCUUUAGCUGAGACUCCUGCACUGCAAGGAGUUGGACCAGAUGACUCUUCCAACACUACAAUUCUAUUAUUCAGUUUCUGUGAAAACCGCCAAAAACGUUUACCCCUGAGGGAAGGGGCGUUAGCAGAGUAGAGUUAACCUCCAGCCAUGGUUGCCCUGUGAAUCUGAUUCCUUACGCGUUGGAUGCCAACUCCAUUUGGGAUGCGCCACAACUCAGUGGCGCAAAGUAUCUGCUUUGCAUGCAGGUCUAAUCCCUGACAUCUCCACAUAAGCCUGGACAACACCCAUCUGGAACCCUGGGAAAUCACCGCCCACCAAUGUAGUUGGGACUCAACUAGAUGGGCUGUUAGUCUGACUCAGUGGUCCCUCGUGGUCCCUUCUAUCUCUACACUCCUGUGAUUCCAUGUCCACAUAUUCUUCCCUCUUCCUUGCCCAAACCUGUGUGAAGUCCUUGCCCUUCCUCUCCCUCCUGAUUGAUUCAACUCCCAUGGGGCCAAAACCCAGGGCAAAAGCUGUUGAAUGACCAGAGGUGGACUGAGCUCCUCUACUUUGAAUAGGUGUGUAGAGACAAGGGAAUGUCGGCGUGUUCGGCCUUUCUCAUCCCUGCACAAGUUUCCUCUCCUAAGUACUUCCUGUCUAUGCAACUAUGAAAGGUGCAAGGGCUCCUCCCUGCGUCCCCAUCCUCUUGCAUCCUGGUCUGGGCACCCUUGGCAGAUGCCAUGUACGGUUGAUGAGUCAGUCCGUUCCAAGACAAUCUUGGCUGAAAAUAUAUUCCUUGUGAUCAGGCGGUGUAAUUUCCUGAGACUUACUAAGCGAUAAGGAUGUCGAAUCUGUCCCACGCCUUGUGAUGUGUUUGUCUUUUAUCCUCAUGCAACCAAAUACAAUGAUGUAGCUGUGUUCCUUCACAAAACAUGGUUUUACAAGCCCCGUCAAAGGCAGAUGUGAAUGGGAGCAUGUGAUACAAAGCAAUGGGAAGCCAUCCCUGCCUCAAGGAGUUAACCAUCAUUAAAAAACAACAACGACAUUCUGAUUUCAAAGUGAGCUUCUCAGGAAACAGGGAAGGGCUAAUUCCCCACCCCACCCCUUGAUUACUUUUACUUUAUCUCCAGUUGUUUGCAGGGGAAUGUUGGUAGAUAAGCAUUACUUGGCUUAACUGUGGUCACAUCUACCUACAGUACAAAUUUAAAACAACAUGAAACUGAUUGAGGGGCCAGGGCUAUGUCUUGGGGACUGUGGUGUUGUGAAGAUGCUGAGAAUUUUUCUUGGGAUCCCUAUACAGUAGUGUUUUCACAUUCAACUACAGUUCCCAAGUUCUAUUGGUUGGGUGCUGUUACCGCCUGGUUCCAAUUUCUAGUGCAGAAAUAGCCAUAAUUAUUGCAUCAACCAAUCCAUAUGCAUAUCUCAGCCUAUGCCAUGUUUAUAUUGUGGGAGAAAAAUAUGAAUCUCUGUGACCCACUUUUGUGAGGUAAAUGACAAAAGAACUGGCUGGAUUGGCUGGAUUGGCUGGAUUCAAAAUGUGGGGCUAAACUCACUCUCCAGCAGGGGGAAUCACCCAGUUGCAGAGUUUAAACUCACAAGGUAAGUAAUAUAGGUUGUUAGAUCAUUUUAUCCCAUUAAGUUGUAUACAGCGCUUGCCUGUUUUUACUCCUCUUGCAAUGAACAGAUCACACACUGCUAAGUACUGUAAGUUAAAAUGCUUUACUUACAGAUUAAAAGGUCAGAUUCAUACAUUUAUCCAAGCAGCAGUGAGGAGAACACAGGCAAAAUACUCUUGGGGAGAAAAUACAGAAAUAUAGCUUCAAACACAUGCAGUAAGCUUGGAGCAAAGCUGAGACAUGUCCUUCCUCAUAGGUUACGGAAGAUAGGGCUUGCCCUUGGUGAAUAUGUACGGUGUUAGAGGAUAUGAAAAGAGGAAUGACACCAAGCCACAUCAACAGGGAUCAGGGAGCUUGACUAUUCUGGGAUGUAUGUCAAGUGCCAAUAUUCUGAAACAGAUCCUCAGGAGUCAGAAAGUUUCUGCCUUGGGCCAAAGGAAAUCCAAUACAAGCAAAAUGUACCGUAUUUUUCGCUCUACAAGACGCACCAGACCAUAAGAUGCACCUAGUUUUUGGAGGAGGAAAACAAUAAAAAAUAAUAUUCUGAAUCUCAGAAGCCAGAACAGCAAGAGGGAUCGCUGCGCAGUGAUCCCUCUUGCUGUUCUGGCUUCUGGGAUAGCUGUGCAGCCUGCAUUCACUCCAUAAGAUGCACACGCAUUUCCCUUUACUUUUUGGGAGGGAAAAAGUGAGUCUUAUAGAGCAAAAAAUACGGUAAAUCUCCAAACCUGUCAACAUGGAGACUCCCCCCCCCCAGUUUGUGAUCUUCAAACUUUUUGAAAAUACAAAAGUCAUUUAAAAAACAACAACUAACAUAAUCCUUUUUUAAAGGUCUUUUUUAAAUUCUUGAAAUGCAAAACAUAAUACAGUGAAAAACACAAAUAUCAGUGUUUGUAUACAUACAAAUAUAUCUGAAGGCUUUAUCCGUGGAAACGAAACAAAAAACCCUAGACAUUUUGCCAAAUUUCAAAAUUCCCACCUGGACACAAAUUUUAAGGCUGAGUAAGAAGAUGUACCCAGGAAGAACCAGACGUAUGGCAACCCUGGCCUCUCCCCUGGAGCAGAGCCCUCCUCCAGCUCCCUGAGUUCCUCCCACUUUCUCCUCACCCAACCAAUCCCCUCCAUGGGGUUCAUGACGCUUUCAGCAUAUGAUACCUCUGCUUACAGAUCUGUACCAGUUGCCCAUUUGUUACUAUGCCAGAUUCAAGGUGCUACUUACACAUCACUUGGGAAGACAGGUGAACUAAUACCAUUGUACUGGAAGAAGCAAAUAACACCAUUGUUGAAGCAAUGAUUCUUCAACAUCAGCUUUGUUGGACUGGUCAUGUUGUGAGGAUGCCUGAUUAUCAUCUUCCAAAGCAACUACUCUAUUCCGAACUUAAAAAUGGGAAAGCGUAAUGCUGGUGGUCAACAGAAGAGGUUUAAAGACUCUCUCAAGGCAAAUCUUAAAAAAAUGUAGUAGAAACACCGGCAACUGGGAAACACUGGUCUGUGAGUGCUCCAAUUGGAGAACAGCCUUUACCAAAGGUGUAAUGGGUUUUGAAGACACUUGAACGCAGGAUGAAAGGGAGAAGCGUGCUAAGAGGAAGGCACGCUUGGCAAAUCCACACCGUGAUCAACUCUCACCCAGAAACCAAUGUCCCCAUUGUGGAAGGACUUGUGGAUCCAGAAUUAGCCUCCACAGUCACUUAUGGACUCACUUUUAAAACCAUGUUUAUGGAAGACAACCUUUCUCGGCUAUGAGUGAUUCCCAAAGAAGAAGAGAAGAAGAAGAAGCUACUUGCUGCUGGUAUGUAGGUUCUAGAAUUAUAGGGUUGGGAGGAGACCCAAAGGGUCAUCAAGUCCAACCACCUGCAAUGCAGGAAUCUUUUGCCCAGUGUGGGGCUCAAACCCAUUAAAGCCCUUCACAGCUUGAGACCACUUGUGGGAUCUCCCUACUCUAUAGAUGUGUCCACUUCAACCACUUCAAUUUGUGGAACUGCCACUGUUACAGGUGCCACAUAAUACUCUGCACUGUAAGAGACUUUUAUUUUAAUUUAUUUUAAGAGAUUUUAAUGCAGCAGUACCUACAUGUUGGAACUCCGUAAUAAUUUCAGCCAGGCACCUUCGCUGUUCUCUUUUUGGCUUAAAACAGUUUCGUUUUAAGCCUAUCCAGACAUACAGAUCUUGACGUGUUUUAUUCUCCUUACUGUUGGUUUUAGUCACCUUCAAAUGUUUUCUAACUGCAAUUUUAAUAUUUCUUGUAAACCGCUUUGAGAUUUUAUUGCAAUCAAGGGUUAUAUAUUUUUUGAUAAAAAUGAAUGGACUAGCAAGCGAUAUAGUUGGGCUUUGACAGCCUGCCCUCCAAAACCUUCAGGAUCUAAGGGGGCGGGGGAUUUUAAACAGAGAGCCAAGAUUCUCAGCAAAGUUCAAAGGCUCAUCCAAUAUUAAAUUGCACACAAGCUGUGAAUUUCAAGAGCAGAGGUGGCGGCAAGUUUUUGAGGCCUCACCAAAAAGAAAAGAAAAAAGGGAAAGCAAUGUUAGCCAUACAAGGCAAGACCUUCGCACCCUCUUCUUAAAAGUAGAGGGGGGACGUCCCUUUCGCAAUGCACACCUAGCCCAUAGCAUAGAAAGUAGAAACCCAUAGAUUAUCUCGGAGGUUCAGAGAAGCCUGGCCAUUCCAGCUUUUAAGACCGCUAGCUAUAAUAAAAAUAAAAAUGACAACACCCAAAAAAACAGAAUUAGGUGCCAAAAAUAAAGAGGGAUGUAACUUUUUUGAGGGGAUACUUAACAAAGCCUUUCCUAUCUGAGAGUGUCACAUUUGGGUCCGGUGUGCAUAUAAACAAGCUGCGAAACUUAUAAUUUUUUUUAACAAGUGUCUAAAUCUGAGGCCUCCUUUGAGCUCUAAGCCCCUGGGCCAAAUGGUCAUCCUGACACCGCCCCUCUGCCCUGAUUGUCCCUGAGGCCCCAAUAAACAGUAAAUAACAAUAGCCCCUCAGUGUGUAGGACCAAUGAGUCGGCCAGAAAAAUAGGUUUUCCCAGGGAAUCGUCACAUGAUGGCUGGACUGUGAGGGAGGGGGAGCCCUCGGCUUGGCCUUCCCCCUUUGGCACCUCCACCAGGACAGAGCUCCCCAGUGGCAAUGGGAUCUGACAAUUGGCUUUGUGUAGCCUGUCAGAAGACAGCCUACAUGGCAAUGACAUGCUUUCUCCUCUACUUCAGGACUCCUCUUGCCUAUUUGCUGGCUGACCUUUUCUGUAGCCCGAGCGGAUGGAAAUCCUAGCAGCAGCAGCAGCAGCUAAAAGCAGGGAGUGCUCUGCAUAAAACUGAUUGGCCCAUCUGGGUGGAUAUAUUGGGAUGAUUUGUGAAAAUCCAGACAAGCAAACAAAGGGACAAGGACAGCAGCCCAAAUAGGUCAAGGGAGGCUCAUGGGUUGUUGUUGCUGCUGCUGCUGCUGCUGCUGCCGCCACUCCUCUUUCCAUCUCGAAGAAAACACAUUUCUGAGACAGGAAAACGCUGCCGCCUGCAUAUCCUGGUCCUUUAAAGUGCCCCCCAGUUCAGCCUCACACCAGGUGUCUUAAGUUCCCCAUCCCCAGCUCGCCAUUUGCCUCCGCUCCAGAAAUAAAUCAAAACGUCUCUUAAAACUCAUUUGUGUUCUUUUGCUUCUGAAUGUCUUCAGCACAGUCUGUUUGCCAAGCCCUUUGGGCUGAAUCGCAGGCAGACAUUAGCAGAGGACACUUCAUCUUACCAACCUUAUGUAUCUGUUUUGUUUCUUGGAGGAGAAAAAAGAAGCAGGAGGACUGUGGCGGCGGGUGGGGAGGGAGGGGGAAAGCACUUAUGCAGAGGGGGAAAGAUAGGGAGGCGGCUCGGUGCAGAAAUGAAAAGGACCUGAGUCAGAAUAAUGAAUUGGGGACAUUAUCUCCGCUCUGCCACGCCGCUUGCAACUUUCCCAGACCUGCAUGGGUGACACUGACCUUUAAAAUGUCUGUUGGAAAUGCACGCUGAGGCAGACUGCAAGCAGAGCCAGGCAGUGUAGGGGUGGAGUGGGGGAAGGCAUCAAAUUUAUUUCUUUCCCCAUUCUAUUGCAUUUCCAAAUUGAACCAGGACCUUAAAGUUUAGUGCUACUCCAAUAUGAAAGCUUUUUUCCAGUCACAUCUUAGAGACCAACUAAGUUUGUCAUUGGUACGAGCUUUCGUGUGCAUGCACACUCUAAGUUUGUCAUUGGUACGAGGCCAUUGGAGGCCACCAGGUUCGGAAAGGUUGGCAAGCCAUGUGUUAUGGCGGGAUGGGGUAAAGAUUAAAGAUAAUAACAAUGAUGUUAUAUGGGAAAGUCAAAAUAAAAAUAAAAAAUUGUCCAGUAGCACCUUAGAGACCAACUAAGUUUGUUCUGGGUAUAAGCUUUCGUGUGCAUGCACGAAAGGGGUUUUUCUCAGAAGGGUAGUAGGAGAUCGGUGAUUGAUUCAAUGGGUAUGGUAAACCUGUUGAAGACUGUUAAUGACUGCAAUUAUUCCUAUAGGAAAAGGCAAGGGAUAGUAUGCAGAUGACCAAAAAUAGCUUUAGCAUGUAUAAUGAGACAGCAAUCCAAUAUCUCUAUUCAGACCAGGUCUCUCCAUAGUUUUCAGUUUGGUAAUAAGUUGUAAUUCAGCAACAUUGAGUCAAUCACCCAUCUCCUACUACCCUUCUGAGAAAAACGCCACCCCACCCUCCCACCAUAUAUAAGGGUAUGGUGACUUCUGCUUCAGUGAAUCUGAAGAAGUGUGCAUGCACACGAAAGCUUACACCCAGAACAAACUUAGCUGGUCUCUGAGGUGCUACUGGACAAUUUUUUAUUUUUAUUUUAUCAGACCAACAUGGCUACCUACCUGAAUCUAGAUAUAUGGGAAAGUUAGCAGAUAUCAGCCCAGGUGUAGUUGCUUUAAGGCCAGUGCCCAUCCUUAGACUCAUAAGAGUUGGAAGGGACCCAGAGAAUCAUCUAGUCCAACCCCCUGCAAUGCAGGACUACGCAGCUGUCCCUUAUGGGGAUCGAACCUUGAACCUUGGCAUUAUCGGCACCAUGCACUAACUAUCCAUCUACUAUCAAACCAAUGUUCUGAGGCGUUUUAGGACCUUGGGUACAACUUCCAAUUGAUACCCUCACUCCUAUCGGUUAACAUGGGCUUCAGUUCAUCAACAGGGUCUCCUUUAACCAGCCUUGCACAAGUCCUGGUUCACUUCAGUAAGGCUUGCACAGUUAGGCUUGUGUGUAGAUUGUGCUCUGUGGGUGAGAAGGUGCCUGUCGUGUAAAUCUACCACCUGAAAAUGUCACCUCAGCCUGUCGUCUAGGAGUGGCUGGAUGCAAAAGAAUGAUGAGGCUUCCUGCACUUCUAAAUAGUUGUCUUAAGAGACAGAAUUUCAGCAGGUGUAGCUUGCAGGCUUUGGUUCCUCCUGCUGAAAUUCCGUCUCCAGCACAAUGGCUAAAGGUAUAAAAAUUCUAUCCUGUUGUUUACACGGCCACUCAACUCCUGGGCAACCAAUUGAAGUUGACCUCCACAAAACAGACACAUCAAGUCAACCAAAAUGAAAUUUGCAUCAAACUUGAUUGUAGACAAAUGUCCAGAAUUUGCAACAUCUGUUUAUGUUAUUCCUUCGAAAUUUCAUGUCUUAAUUUCUUACAAAGUAUUUCUUACUUUUUUCUUAAAGAACAAACAAGUAAACUUUGAGGUCAGGCAGCAGCAAGAAUCUGUUUUCUCCCCCACCUUCCUUAACCCAGCCUAUUUGGGCACCCGGAACUCAAAAAAUUGAGCAGGAGGGAGAAAAUGUACCGUAUUUUUCGCUCUAUAACACGCACCCGACCAUAACACGCACGUAGUUUUUAGAGGAGGAAAAUCCGUAGGCAUGCCACCCGUAGGCAUUCCCUCCAUAACACGCACAGACAUUUCCCCUUACUUUCUAGGAGGAAAAAAGUGAGUGUUAUGGUGCAAAAAACACGGUAAUUAGUAUGAGAGCGGGAGGUGCCAUUUAUCACUCAAAGUCUUCUGCCAGCCUGAAGGGGAGGGGCCAUCACUCAGAAGCAGGGCACAUGCUCAGCAUACAGAAAGUUCCAGGUUCAAUUCCUGCUCUCUUCAAGUAGAGCUGAGAAAGAUUUCUCUUUGGAAUCCUGGAGAGCUCAAUGGAGACAGUAGUGGACCUGGUGGACUAGUGGCAAUAACACAGUUUCCUAUAUUCCUAGAUAUUCAAGCCAGUGUAUGCGUGUGUGCUGGAAUUGCAGGAGGUAGCACAUUUUAAACAUUUCUGCCCUUGCAUUGCCUGCCAGUCCAUGACCUGAGGCAAAUAGCUUCACUGUGGCACUGUGGGUUAAACCACAGAGCCUAGGACUUGCCGAUCAGAAGGUUGGCGGUUUGAAUCCCCGCGACAGGGUGAGCUCCUGUUGCUCGGUCCCUGCUCCUGCCAACCUAGCAGUUCGAAAGCACGUCAAAGUGCAAGUAGAUAAAUAGGUACCGCUCUGGCGGGAAGGUAAACGGCGUUUCCAUGCGCUGCUCUGGUUCGCCAGAAGCGGCUUAGUCAUGCUGGCCACAUGACCCGGAAGCUGUACGCCGGCUCCGUCGGCCAGUAAAGCGAGAUGAGCGCCGCAACCCCAGAGUCUGUCACGACUGGACCUAAUGGUCAGGGGUCCCUUUACCUUUACCUUUACCUUCUGACGGAGAGGCACCCUUAGGCUCUCAGUGACUGUGAUUUUUUCCCAGAGUUCAGACAAAGUCUUUUUCUACUCCAGAGGUUGCAGCAGUUGCUUUUAAUUUCAGCCUGGACUUAAGGAAGCUGAAAGGUAAACAUAACCAACCACAGUUAUCCAAGAAGCUGAGGGUCGUAUUUGUGCUCCUCACUAGCACUUCCACUACUUAAAGACUUGGAGAAAUUAAGAGAGGAGCUCCCAACUGUCCUUGUCUCACUAAGGAGGACCACACCACGCAUUGUUGAAAUCCCAUGAAAAUCCCUCCUGUUCAUUGCACCCUUAUCCUGCUCGGCUUUUUCUAAAUAAGUGUGAGCUUUCUACCCAGGAGAGGGCCAGACUCUGUUUGUGGGAUUCAAUGCCUGCUGUGCAUUGUUCGUUGCAAGGCACUGCUGAUGUGCCUAUGCAACGCCGUGUGGUUCAGAGCAAAUCUACAGAAGUUUCCCAUCAAUGGCUUCCUUUCCUGAUUCAGCUUUUUGUACACCUGCAAUUUAGGGCACCACACACCACACUUAACGCAGGACGUUCAGAAAUUUGACUUUAAAAAAUAACAAAACCCCCCAAAAAGCACUGAGUGAUGCGCUUUGUAAUGAGGGACAGUUUGCAAGCUUUGCUCCAAGGGACAUUGAAUUAAAAACAGCCCUUUGGUACUUCUGGACGGGCUAUUCCUAUAAUCAUAGAGCUGCAACAAACUGCCUUUGCCACAGGCUUUUAUUUGAGAUUCUGAUAACAGGCUGUGGUUUUGAGGAACUAGAGCUCUCGCUAGACAAGGCUCGGUCUUGUCGAAUUAUUGACUUUGUAGUGUAUAUCAUUCCCCAUUGUAGCGAGGUAAUGGCAGCUCUCACUAACACACUAGGAAUAUGUUAAGGAACUGCACAGUGCAGCGACGGCAAGUUUCUGUUUUAUCUUGUUAGACUUACCCGACGUCACGUUGGUAUUCAGCCCAGCUAAUGCCGUGCCGUUAAAAAAAGAGAGAGAGAGAGAGGGAGUCUUACAUUAAUGACUUUUGUCACAAAAGUCAUUAACAUAAUAGGACUUCCACAUCAAAAUUGAAUAUUAAUGCUACACCAGGCUGAGGUAGUAAGAGGGAUAAUUGCUCUAAUACAUUUUCCAGUCGGAUUUUCGCAUCGUGGUAGCAAUUGCAUUAGCAAACCCGAUUAUUAACACAUCUGAUACAAUGGCAGUGGCUAAUAGGAGUUAAGUUGGUUCUUUUUCUUCUCCCCACUCAGGGCCACAGCCCUUGUUCCAAAGCAAAAAAUCACAGGCGCUGCCAAAAUCUAUGCACAAGCGUCAGCAGGAAACGUUUAAUCAGGAUGGUGAGCACAGAGAUAGACCAGGAGUUUGGGAUAAAUUUGCGAGAAGGACAAAUUACUCCUCCCCACUUUGUUACUAGGGGCAAAUUGCUCCAGCCUCCAACUUUCCAUCUGCGAAAUGGAGGUGAGGGCUUCCUUGCUUAGAUAUUGUGAGGAGGAUCCUCUUACUGUCACAAACAAUGCUGAAAGGGCUGGUGAUGAUCACACAGAAAUGAAAAAUGUAUGAUUUUGUUAAAAAAUGCAAAUGUUGCAGUCAGGCUGAUUGUGCAGGAGUGCAGCCAUUGUCACUGCUAACUCUAUGAAUAUUUCCCCUAAUAUUUUAGGACCCCUGUGCAAGACAGAUAAACAUGGAAGCAAGCCCC